rnacentral:rRNA from 1 species
GAUGAACGCUGGCGGCGUGCCUAACACAUGCAAGUCGAGCGAUUCUCUUCGGAGAAGAGCGGCGGACGGGUGAGUAACGCGUGGGUAACCUGCCCUGUACACACGGAUAACAUACCGAAAGGUAAGCUAAUACGAGAUAAUAUGCUUUUAUCGCAUGGUAGAAGUAUCAAAGCUUUUGCGGUACAGGAUGGACCCGCGUCUGAUUAGCUAGUUGGUAAGGUAACGGCUUACCAAGGCGACGAUCAGUAGCCGACCUGAGAGGGUGAUCGGCCACAUUGGAACUGAGACACGGUCCAAACUCCUACGGGAGGCAGCAGUGGGGAAUAUUGCACAAUGGGCGAAAGCCUGAUGCAGCAACGCCGCGUGAGCGAUGAAGGCCUUCGGGUCGUAAAGCUCUGUCCUCAAGGAAGAUAAUGACGGUACUUGAGGAGGAAGCCCCGGCUAACUACGUGCCAGCCGCCGCAGUAAUAC